ACUUUUUUAGUAUAAUAUUAAUAUGUUUGACUUCCAAUCAAAUAAUCUUGGGUAUAAACCAAGAAAAAGUA
rnacentral:tRNA from 1 species